CCAGAGCAAAGUGUGAUAUUCUAUUUACUUAAAAAAAUGGACAAAUACACCUCAUACGAGAAAAAUGUCCACAAAUGUAAAAUCUCAUAAUAUCCUAUGCUAAAAGUUAACAUUUUGGUGUAGUUUUGCCAAAAAAUAUUACGUGUGGCAAAAAAAUGCAAAAAAGAUCAAUAUUUUCAAUAGGUUUGAGUGUGAUAAAACUAAAGAAGAUAUCAAUAGUUGGUUUGGAUAAAUCCAUGCCAACAUGAAAAGACACUAAAUAGGUCAAUUUUCAAAGCACAUUCACGGACAUGUCGAGACCACAUUUGCACAGGGUGGAUAAAUUAGGAAUAUUUUGAAAACAUAUUAAUAGUCGGUUUGGAUAAAUCCACGCCAACAUGAAAAGAUACUAAAAAGGUCAUUUUCUAAAGCAGAUGUCACCGACAUGUCGAGACCACAUUUGGACAUGGUGGAUAAAUUAGGAAUAUUUUGCAAACAUAUUAAUAGUCGGUUUGGAUAAAUCCACGCCAACAUGAAAAGAUACUAAAAAGGUCAUUUUCAAAGCAGAUGUCACCGACAUGUCGAGACCACAUUUAGACAUGGUGG
rnacentral:lncRNA from 1 species